rnacentral:rRNA from 1 species
UACCAGCACCCCGAGUGGUCGGGACGAUUAUUGGGCCUAAAGCAUCCGUAGCCGGUUUUACAAGUCCUCCGUUAAAUCCAGCUGCUUAACAGAUGGGCUGCGGAGGAUACUAUAAGACUAGGAGGCAGGAGAGGCAAGCGGUACUCAGUGGGUAGGGGUAAAAUCCGUUGAUCCAUUGAAGACCACCAGUGGCGAAGGCGGCUUGCCCAGAAUGCGCUCGACGGUGAGGGAUGAAAAGCUGGGGGGAGCAAACCGG